rnacentral:rRNA from 1 species
UACGUAGGGUGCGAGCGUUAAUCGGAAUUACUGGGCGUAAAGUGUGCGCAGGCGGCCGCGCAAGUCGAGUGUGAAAGCCCCGGGCUCAACCUGGGAAUGGCAAUGGAUACUGGACAGCUAGAGUGCGGUAGAGGGUAGUGGAAUUCCCGGUGUAGCAGUGAAAUGCGUAGAUAUCAGGAGGAACACCAAUUGCGAAGGCAGCUCGCUGGACGUUACUGACGCUGGAGACGCGAAAGCGUGGGAGCAAACAGG